rnacentral:lncRNA from 1 species
AGAAUGAAAGGAGUUGAAAUAUGUAAAAUUCCUUACAUCUGUGCCUAUACAUAGUAAGUACUCUGUAUAUACUAGAACCAGAAUUUUAAACUGGAAGAUGAAUUUUAAUAUUUAUAUAUUUAUAUAGAAAAUAUGUCAAUUUUUAAAUUAGUGUUUUUUGUUUCUGUUUUUCGUCCUUUUUUUUUUUUUUUUUUUNGGAGCUACCCCUAGCCUGGGAACUUCCAUAUGCCGCAGGUAUUGCCCCAGAAAAGACAAAAAAAAAAGAAAAGAAAAGUAAGUGAUCUGCUAAAAUGGUACCUAAUUACAGCAUCAUUUUGAUUUUAUUUUUUAAAAAUUUUGAUAUUAUUUAGGGCAUACUGUGUGCCAGGGAUUGACUAGGUGCCAAAUAUAGGCAUAUCUCCGUCUUAUGCAAUUAAUAUGUUUUUAAACAUACAUAAAUGAGUAUCGGUUGGAGUAUUGGCCCCACCAGUUUUAAAGAUGCACCCUUAUUCAGGUUAACUACUACAUUCUGUGAGACUCAAUUUUCCCAUUUAUAAAAAAUGGAACUAAUGAUAUCUUCAGAAUUAUGAGGAAUGAAGAUGGUGUCUGCAGAAUGCCCAGUCUAGUGGGCCCCUAUAAAUUGUAGCUGCUAUUAAUUAAAAAAAAAAAAUCAUCUCAUUUACUUGCUAUUGUUUUGGCUUGAGUUGCUUUCAUCUCUGACCUGUCUUCUACCUACUGUGUUAAGCUUACCUGUCCCUACCCUGUUCGUCAGCCUUUUGAAAAUAACCACUUAAGUGUUUGAUGAGUACGUUUAUGAAGCAGAUCCAAUGUUUAAAAGAAUCUGAGAGUAAAAUACUUUGAGAACGAUUACCCUUUAAUUAUAGCGUCUUUCUUUGAACUCUUGCAUUUCCCUUUUAUUAUUUUUUUCCUCGCCGGCCCACAGCCCUUAUCUCCUUGCGCUCAACCUCCUUUUGGAUUUCCCCACUAAUUACUCCCUCUCCGCACCACCCUCCCUUCUAUUCUACAUUCUACACUCUUGCUAGAAUAAGUUUCCUAAAACCUCUCUGUAUCCCUUCUUUUAUUUUCCUAAAACAUUUACAUUGGCUCUCUGUUCCCAGGUCUCAAGUUCAUUGCCUAAACUUCAUGAUUCACUAUAGUCUGGGAUUCUCUUGUGUCCUUAUUCAGCUUAAUUUUCCAUGAUUCCUAAACCAGUGGAGACUAUGCACAACCCUGUGUAUUUCGUCUUUGUUCCUAAAUUGAAGUUUUUUGUGUGUCCCAUUCUUUCUGCUCACGUCGUUCUUCCUCAUCUUCUCUCCCUUAAGUCAAGCCUGUUUUGUAUGGGUAUAUUCAAGUUCUGCAUACUCUGCCAGGUCUCUUUCUGACUCCAAGUUCAGUGAUUAAAAAAAAAUUUUUUUUUUUUGGAUGUGUAAAAUAGCAGAAGUUCCUGUUGUGGCUUAGUAGGUUAGGAACCAACAUCAUGUCUGUAAGGAUGUGGGUUUGAUCCCUGGCCUUGCUCAGUAGGGGAUGGAUCCGGUGUUGCCUCAAGCUGCAGCAUAGGUCACAGAUGCAGCUCAGAUCUGUGUUACUGUGGCUGUGGUGUAGGCCAGCAGCUGCAGCUCCUAUUUGACCGCUAGCCCAGGAACGUCCUUAUGCCACAGGUGCAGCGCCCCCCCCCCCAACCCCCAAAAUAACCAGUCUUACAGAGAGUAGCGUAGAAGUUUAAAAAGCUAAAGCAGGCAGAAAUAAAAAAAAAAGCCAACCUAAAAAUAAAGGUAUUAAGAAAAGGAAGCAGAAUGGUGGUCUGAGGAAUUCUUUAGACCCUCUCCCCCUGCAAAAUAACCACUUACCUGUUGAAAAUUAUCUUAAAACACAAUCAUUUAAAGUCUCCUAAAAGAGCAUACAUUAUAAGGAGUGUGGCUGUAAAAAGGAAAAAAAUAGUAAAACAUCAUAUUUGAGAAUGUAUUUUGUAAAAUAUUAAUUGCCCAUUUUAGUCUUAUGUCUUGAGGAGAAAAUACAUCCUUUGUAGAAUUAGGUAUUCUGUAAGAGUGUCUAGCCAAGUGCUAACUAGUCAGUCAAUACUUGUAUGGUUAGAUUUUCUGAGCUCCUAGUUUUUCUAAAUUGAUUUUUUGGUAUGAAUUAGGGAGUGCAAUAUAGUAUGGUUUAUAAGGGAAAUUUAGUCAGAUGUCAGUCUAAAAAAACUAUUUAAAAACAAUCAAUUUUCAAUAAAUGUAAAACACUGUCAAUCUGAAGAACUAUUUAAAAACAUAAUCAUUUGGAAUAAAUGUAAAACACGAUACCUUGUUUUUUAUUUCUUCUUGUAGUCUGACAUGAAAUGUUAGAGAACAUGGAAUUUGUUAACACUUCAGAUUUUUGGAGAUUGAUAGGGGAAAAAAAAACAAAACUUUUCAAGUAAUUUAUAACCACUUUUGCUUUCUCUGACAUAAAAAUGAAAAAAAGAAAAGAAAAGGGAUGGGAUAGGAUAGGACGAAAUGGAAAAAGAGGCACCACGAGUCAGCUAAUGUGGUUUCUUUACAUCUUGAGUCACAGGUAACUGUCCAGCACCUGGAACUUGGUAUUUGCCUCAUUUCCUUUUUUUUUUGUUUUUUGUUUUUUUUUUUUUGCUUUUUAAAAUUUACCUUUUAUUAAGGUCUAAGGUACAAACAUGGAAAUACGCAGACCUUGAUGUACAAUUUGAUGAGUCUUUAUAAAUGUGUAUUUAUGAAUAAUCCAAAUCCAAUUUAAGAUAAAGAAUAUUCAUGACCCCAAAACUUCCCUGAGCUUCCCUGUACCCUUUUCCAGCCAACAACCCUCAACCCUCCAUGGGAGCCACCUGUUAUUCUGUCACCAUAUGUUAAAUUUGAACUUUGUAUACAUGGGGUCGUAUUAUACAUAUGCUUUUGGGUUUGGCCUCAUUCACUAAAUGUGACAUCUUUGAGAGUCAUCCAUGCUGUUGCAAAUACCAGUGCUCAUCCUUUUUAUUGCUGAGUAGUAUCCCAUUGUUUGAGCAUACUUAAGUUUGCUUAUCCAUUCUCCUGUUGAUGGACAUUUGGAUUAUUUCCAGUUCUGGACUAUUAUGAAUAAAGUUGCUGAGAACAUUUCUAUAUAAAUCUUUGGGUGAACAUAGUUUCAUUUCUCUUGAGUGAAUACCUACAAGUGGGGACUGGUUGAUCAAAGGAUUGGUGUAUGCCUAACUUUGUAAGAAACUGCCACACAUUUUUCCAAAGUGGUUGGAAUGUAUGAAAGUUUUAGUUGCUAUCCAUCCCUGCUAACACUUGAUAUUAUCAUUGUUUUUAAUUUAACCUUUUUAUUAUGUGUGGAGAUCUACCUCAUUGUAGUUUGAAUUUUCACUUCCUCGAGGUUGACUACCUUGUCAUCUACUUACUGGCUAUUUGUGUAUGUCCCUUUGGGGAGAGCCUGUCCAAACUUUCUGCCCAUUUUUAUUAUGUUGUUUGUCUUCUGAUUAUUGAGUGGUAGAAGUCUUUUAUAUAUUCUGGUUAUAAGUCCUUUGGCAGCUAUAUGAUUAGGAAUAUUAUCUCAUAUUGCCUUUUUGUUUAUAGCAACUCAAGCAAUAAUUCUAGGAAACCACUGCUUUAGACAUUCUUUCUUUAUAGAACCGUAUAAAGGCAGGAUACUGGGGAGAGGGCUAGAGGCCAGGCAGCUAGCGAGAACCUCUGUCUUGUGUUUCCUUUUCUCUUCUAGGAAAUUUUUUUUUCUUUCCCAGAAGAGCCUUGCCUCCUAGAAGACUUCUAUGUGUUGUUGACAAAAACUGAGUUACUUCUCUAUCUCUAGCUGCAAGAGAGGCUGGAAAAGUGUCUUUAAAAAAAGUCUCUGUGGUGGUGGGCAGAUGAAUGAGAAUGGGGUUAAGAAUGUCAUGGGAAAAAAAAAAAAAAAAGACUGUCAUCUUCCUGUAGCUAGUCAGGUACAGGUCGUCCUAGGGGAGGAGGAAACAUACCAAGCUCUCAGAGAUGUAAGCACAUUGCAUGUUCAGGGAACUGGGGGUAUUUCGAGAGAAAAAUGAAUAAAUUUAUUACUUGAAGAACCUUUGUGUGUAUCUAUUAGAAUGGAGCCAAGAGUCAGGACAUUUGAGCUGGGAAUUUGAUUUGGAAUCAUUCAGGGAACAGGUUGUCCUUGAAUUCAGCUAUGGUGGUAUUGAGAUUGCUCAGUGAGAACUUAUAGUAAGAAAAAGGCAGAGUGUGGGCUCUAGGGACAACUUAAUUUCAGGGUUAGCCACAGGAAAUUGAUAUCCAAAAGUAGACUGAGAACACCUAGCAGACGAGUAGACUCGUUAAUACAGCUGUGGGAGGAGUUUCAGGAAAGAGAAGAGUGAGUGGUCCGUGGAGUGGAAAGUCCCAAAGGGAAUAGAGGUCAAAAUUGUAGUCAGCUGAGGGAACAUAGGUAAGAUGGUGUUGGCAUUGCGUUAGACUGCUUAUCAAGAAGCUUAGCUAUUUUCCAAGUCCAUGAUAGAACUAUGUCUAGAUACUUACAAUGCAACAUGACAAUGGGAGAAAAAAUUACGUAUACAUGUAUGUGUAACUGGGUCCCCAUGCUGUACAGUGGCUGGGGGUGGAAAAAUGUAAUAAAAAAAUAAAAAGACAAAAUAAAAAAAAAAACCUUUCUGAAGCUAAAAAUAAAAAAAAA